UGGCUCAGUUGGAAGAGCAUGGUGUUUGCAAUGCCAGGGUUGUGGGUUUGAUUCCCGC
rnacentral:tRNA from 1 species